GGGAAAGGAUUGUUAAAAUAGAAAAAUAAGUCAGAGGCCUGCUUGAUAUUACAUCACAAGCAGUAUGACGCUGCUCGUAGUGGACAUAAAAAAAAGUUAAGUAUAUUUAAAAUUGAAGGAGACAAGAUUAAAAUUAUAAUCUAAAGGCUGCUAUUAAAAUCGGAAUAUGAUUGUUCCAGUUAAGGCCUGAGGAGAAAUAUCGUAGGUACCUACCUACGUGGGCUUAGCAUGUGUGCAGACAUUACCGGUAUUACAAUGGUAGCUCCACAAUUUGUUGUAAUACCAUAAUCGUAGUCUUCAACUAUGCAGGGGUUCGAUCGUCAGAUAUUUUUUGUGAAUAUUCAAUGUAUCUAUUAUGGGUUCACUAUCGUCUACCAAUUUUAAGGAACAAUGUCGUAAUUACUGAUAACUUUUUUUUUCGGGCAGGGGCCGUACCUCAUACGAAGUGUCCGCGCCUAGGAGGCGUGCUGGGUAAGCAGUAAUUGACGGUUUGCGUUUGUUGGGAGCAGACCGCGGACCCAAGGUCACCCCUUGCACUCUCUCAGCUGACAUCCACUCUCCGCCCGGGGUUAGAACCCAGGCAGAGUAUGAGGGUUCCAACUGUUAACAAUAAAUCCAUACUCCCUGCGGCACCCCUAGGACGCCCAGCAGUUCCGUAGAACUACUUCCAUAUAAUGCACUAGAGCGGGGAUCCGUACACUGUUUCGCUUCGAGUAGUUCCGAUUACUAACUGAUUUCGUGCCAUCUUUGCAACGCGUUUAUAGUCGAUACGACAUCCCUAGUUUUAUGGAGAACAUUAUGGGCAAGUCGAGUAGCUUCGAGUGUGUUUCCGCUAUCUGACAAUAGAUGGCGUUGUACCUCUCGAGAGUUGUAACUAUACCAGCCGCUGUAACUAUACUGAAACCUUAGAACCCAUAUCUCAAGGUGGGUGGCGGUAUUUAAGUUGUAUGUCUAUGGGCUCCGGUAACUACUUAACACCAGGUGGGUUGUGAGCUCGGCCAACCGUCGUCUAUACAAUAACAAAAUAAAAAAAUAAAACUCGAAAUGUAAACAGACAUUUUGAAAUUUCCGAGUUAAGCCAAGAAAAUUUAGACAGUUUUGUGUUAAUAAAAAAUGUACUUAUUUAAUAAUUAACAACACUAUAAUUAAAAAGCAAAAUGUUUUUGUAGAAAAUAUUUAAUUCGAACCAAAGUUCCAAGUUUCUUGUUUUUCUAUUUAAUUAUGACAAUACAUUAAAGUGUAGGGUUAUUAAAAAUGCAAUCAUCUGUAAAGUAGAUCAGGAACAAAUCACACCCGGUCAUGUGGCCCCAAUAGGAGGAUCCCCUCUACUGUGGGAAUCAGCCAUUGAUAUUAGUUUAAAAAUAACCCUUUAGGCUUAUGUACCUUUUAUGUCAAGAUAUUUAAUGACUAGGAUGUCGGUAGCUUCAGUAGCCACUGCCAGCUGAUGCUUUGGCCACGGCUACUGCGACAGCACCUCCACCGUAUUG